GAAGAGCAGUGUAAAAGAGAGCUUGAGCCUCCAGAGCCUCAAUGUCUAGGGGCUUGUUGUUCUGUAGUUCGAAUAGCUUUCUAAAGUUCAUUUUUAAAAGCAGUAGAGCAGUUUUUCAUGUGUAUAUACGCUAGUUAGACUCGCUACGCCCCUUAGCUUCUCUUAGGAACCAGGCUGGUGCCCAUGCACCUUACUACUGCCAGCCCAUUGCUAGGGAACUACAAUCUAGCCUUCCCAGUGCUACUACUAAUACAAUGAUCCUUUUGCUUUGCUGUCGUCAGGGGCAACUCUUUGUGCAUUGUAAUAGGCUACAACCAGUCUCUGAAAUGCAUGGUAUGUCCUGAAAACGACACACUUCUUUGCCUACAGGUCCCAGCAUGCACCUGGCCCUCUGGGGGUGGGUAGGACCCAGCCGUGCAGCGUGAUUGGCUGUAGUGGUCUGACUGACAGGUCCGAGGCUGCUCCUCCUCAGGUCUCCCAUAAGGAAGAGGUUGUAAAGCUUUAAAGGAGAAGCCUGUUUGGGUGUUUUUGGUUUAAAGCCAUGUGUGUAUUUUAUUAGACACUUAGUGGGAUUGGUAGGUUUUGUUUUGGAUGCCGUUAGCCUGGUCCCAGAUCUGUUUGUGCGGUCUUGCCAUACCCCUAUUGUCAUUGUCAUGUUACAGCACAAACCGAUCUGGAACCAGGCUCGGAUGCAGCUGGGAUGGACUUUUCCUCAGCUUGUGGAGAUCUGAGAGGAUUUGAUUGGUAUAACCAAUAUGGUGACACUUCCACCUAGCCUAUCAGAGGGCAAGGUAGAUGUAUUACCAAAUUGCUUACACCUGUCAAAUCCUGACAGACUCCCCACAAGUGCUUAGGUUAUUGACUGGAAACGGAGAACAUGGUAGUCGCUGGAGAGGCUUUUUAACAGCACAGGUCCAAAUAGCCCCGCUGAGGAACAGGCCCUUAUCUCAGGCCCAUGGCGUGCUCAGCUCCGCGUUCAUUAGGGCACACCAUUGUGGAAUGUUCCAGUAGAAAUAUAUGCAGAACAACUAUGCCUCUGACAUAAGGAAUCACGUCAGCUCUAUUCAAGACAGUUCUAACGUUCCACAACAUUUACCUUCUCAACACGCUCCUGGUACAAGAGGUUUGGUCCCAAACGGGGAACCAUCAGCAUCCUCGGUAGUAGUGGCUGUACUAUGUGUUGAUCCAGGUUAGCUCUGAGUCUCAUCUCAUGUAUGGUUCACUAUUACUGUGGUUAUGGUCUUUAAAGGUACUCUAUUCACUCAGCGGCCAGUGGAGGGCAACAUGGUGUUGUGUGAUAUUGAACAGCUAUGAGACUAACUGGCCUCUAGUACCUUCCACUGUAAUGCCGUUUAUUUUAAAUCUGAAAGGACUUGAUGGGUAUAGCGGCACACCCUAAGCAUUCUGGGGAAAUUACAGCUAGCCUAUCAGAGGUCAAGGUCAAACAAACCCCAUGUUGUUAUUCCUUUCAGGUGUCCUGGAGUGUGUAGUGGGGAGGGGCUAGACUAGAGCCUGGGUACCAGUCUGUGUUCACAUGACACAGAGUACAUGACCUGGAAUGCUAGCAAGACAGGUUCUGUAUUUCAAGCUAGCUAGACUAGUGUGUGACCCUUUGACCCUGUGCCCUUUGACCCCAUACUUGACCCCUGGUGUGACUCUCAGACGUCCCUGCUACGCCUCUUCUCUCACCGUCCGUCCGUCUGACCUAUCCCACUCAUGUACUGCACUUUAUAACCUGAUUUACAGAGAUCACUAGUUAGGAAAUAUUAUUAGAGACAAAUAUUGAUAUUUAGACCAGGUUAUAGCAUCAAAUACUGUAUCAUUAUCAAAGGUAAUAAGUUAUUUAGCAUUUCAUGUAGACAUUUAGUUUAAUGUUUUGUUGUGCCUCCAUUGUGUGAUGAACCAUUGAAAAGGGAAUCCAAGCUGUCAUGUUUUUAAAACUGUAUAUCAGUGCAAACCAAAACUCAUUUUUAAAUAGAGUGAAAUGCUUUGUGUUGGCUUGUGUGUUGUAAUACCUAUUACCUAUGUAACCAUGAGGAAAGAGCAUCAGUUUUAUACUAGGGUUUCUGCUCUGCGGGAGGUAUAGGAGGAGAGGCUGUUCGUUCUAUUGAAUCUAGUUCUAUGAUUCACACCGUUGGCUCUAUUCAGUGUAGCUGAUGGGUGAUGGUGGAGGUUGUUAUGGGCUCUGUCUCGUUGGAAGUGUUCAUUAUUGGUUUUCGACCUGGCGCCUCUCCUCCAUGCUUCAUAAAAUACCCAAAUACCCAAUACCCUUUUUGGUGCUUUUGUUUUAAUAAAGAAAAUGAGAAAUUA